GCGGACACGCCCUCGUCGCUUCCUGGAGCGCCGGGUGAGGAGGCAGACGGAGGAGAGAACCGGCGACAGUGACGUCAAUCCCGGGGGCCGUGCUGCUGGACCGGCGUUCCGUCCUGCGCUUUACUAAACGACGCUACGAGAGAUCUGCCGCCGCUCACGCUUGUUUUCUUUUGCGAUUUUCGUGAACUCCUCUUCCUUUCUGUGCUGCGUGAGUGCCUACGGCCAAGGGCGCCCAGCAUGCCCUCGUUCUGUGCAGCAUUCGGCUGCGGGAACACCGGCGGGCGAGACGACGUGGUGUUUCACUUGUUCCCGAAGGACAAGAAGCUUGCAGCGCAGUGGGUCCGUGCGGUGAGGAGAGAUAAUUUCGUGCCGACGAAGAAAACUGUGCUGUGCUCGGACCAUUUCCGCGACAGUGAUUAUCAUCGGAGCUUGACAACGAUGCGGGCAGUCGGUGUUCCAGUUAAAUCGGCGCGACUGAAGCCCGGCGUUGUCCCGUCUAUAUUCUCCCACAAGAGAAACACCUCGCCACCUCCAAGAGCGGCCUUCGCCAAGAGGAGAAGGCGUGAGAUAAUAGCAGAGCUCCUUGAGAACAGAGCCCGUGAUGAACCUGUUCCACUACCACCAUCAAUCGAAGAUAUUGAAGCAGCCAUUGUGGCACAGGCAGCUGGUGUUGAACAGAAUUGCCCCGAAACUGCAGACAAGAGCCUUCAACAGAAUGGCCCCCAAACUGCAGACAAGAGCCAACAAUUUCUGAUACAACCAGCAAAAUCUUUCAGGGCGUCACAAGCAGACGUAAAAAACAAGCGCAGGUUCAUUUCACGUGGGACGCAGACAAAGCUUCGGAGUGUUUAAGUCGGUGUCCAGGUUGGCAACUUCAUGGUAGAGGUUGCUACUCAGGUGAUGAAUGUGGCAGAGCCAUGUUAUGAGAGUGACAGCCUAAGUGACAGUGAACCUGCUUCUGAUUUCGACGACAAUUACAGUCCUGACAAUCCUGACAGUCCUCAUUUAUUCAGCUCUGCAAAAUUCCUCUAAUUUGAGACAUCUCUUCCAGGUACUAUAUAUCUGUAAUCAGGCAGUAAAGACGAAAUAUCAAGCAA